AAUCCUGACUAGUGAACUAUUAUUAAGAUGGGCCACUCUUGGUGGUCGUAAAGGAGAAAAAGAAAUGCUGAAGCUGACCUCAUAGCCUUAUAGUCUGGUAUAUAGCAUGUGGGCUAGUUUCAAACAAGG
rnacentral:snoRNA from 1 species